GGAUAGCUCAGUCAGUAGAGCAUGAGGCGCUUAAUCUCAGGGUAGUGGGUUUGAGCCCCACAUGAGGCA